GACGAACGCUGGCGGCGUGCUUAACACAUGCAAGUCGAACGGAAAGGCCCUGCUUUUGUGGGGUGCUUGAGUGGCGAACGGGUGAGUAACACGUGAGUAACCUGCCCUUGACUUUGGGAUAACUUCAGGAAACUGGGGCUAAUACCGGAUAGGAGCUCCUGCUGCAUGGUGGGGGUUGGAAAGUUUCGGCGGUUGGGGAUGGACUCGCGGCUUAUCAGCUUGUUGGUGGGGUAGUGGCUUACCAAGGCUUUGACGGGUAGCCGGCCUGAGAGGGUGACCGGCCACAUUGGGACUGAGAUACGGCCCAGACUCCUACGGGAGGCAGCAGUGGGGAAUAUUGCACAAUGGGCGGAAGCCUGAUGCAGCAACGCCGCGUGCGGGAUGACGGCCUUCGGGUUGUAAACCGCUUUCGCCUGUGACGAAGCGUGAGUGACGGUAAUGGGUAAAGAAGCACCGGCUAACUACGUGCCAGCAGCCGCGGUGAUACGUAGGGUGCGAGCGUUGUCCGGAUUUAUUGGGCGUAAAGGGCUCGUAGGUGGUUGAUCGCGUCGGAAGUGUAAUCUUGGGGCUUAACCCUGAGCGUGCUUUCGAUACGGGUUGACUUGAGGAAGGUAGGGGAGAUUGGAAUUCCUGGUGGAGCGGUGGAAUGCGCAGAUAUCAGGAGGAACACCAGUGGCGAAGGCGGUUCUCUGGGCCUUUCCUGACGCUGAGGAGCGAAAGCGUGGGGAGCGAACAGGCUUAGAUACCCUGGUAGUCCACGCUGUAAACGGUGGGUACUAGGUGUGGGGUCCAUUCCACGGGUUCCGUGCCGUAGCUAACGCUUUAAGUACCCCGCCUGGGGAGUACGGCCGCAAGGCUAAAACUCAAAGGAAUUGACGGGGCCCCGCACAAGCGGCGGAGCAUGCGGAUUAAUUCGAUGCAACGCGUAGAACCUUACCUGGGUUUGACAUGGAUCGGGAGUGCUCAGAGAUGGGUGUGCCUCUUUUGGGGUCGGUUCACAGGUGGUGCAUGGCUGUCGUCAGCUCGUGUCGUGAGAUGUUGGGUUAAGUCCCGCAACGAGCGCAACCCUUGUUCACUGUUGCCAGCACGUUAUGGUGGGGACUCAGUGGAGACCGCCGGGGUCAACUCGGAGGAAGGUGGGGAUGACGUCAAGUCAUCAUGCCCCUUAUGUCCAGGGCUUCACGCAUGCUACAAUGGCUGGUACAGAGAGUGGCGAGCCUGUGAGGGUGAGCGAAUCUCGGAAAGCCGGUCUCAGUUCGGAUUGGGGUCUGCAACUCGACCUCAUGAAGUCGGAGUCGCUAGUAAUCGCAGAUCAGCAACGCUGCGGUGAAUACGUUCCCGGG
rnacentral:rRNA from 1 species